rnacentral:rRNA from 1 species
UACGAAGGGGGCUAGCGUUGUUCGGAAUUACUGGGCGUAAAGCGUAUGCAGGCGGACUUUUAAGUCGGGGGUGAAAUCCCGAGGCUCAACCUCGGAACUGCCUUCGAUACUGGAAGUCUUGAGUCCGGGAGAGGUGAGUGGAACUCCGAGUGUAGAGGUGAAAUUCGUAGAUAUUCGGAAGAACACCGGUGGCGAAGGCGGCAUCCUGGACCAACACUGACGCUGAGGAGCGAAAGCCAGGGGAGCAAACGGG